rnacentral:lncRNA from 1 species
CGCGUGCGCGUCUCUGAAACGGGGACUUGGGAGCGCGCGCUGCCCCUCACUUGGCUGCAACUGGACCCAGAACUAGGGAAGAGGCCAGGGACAGAUUUUUUUUUUUUAUUUUUAUUUUUUUUGCCGAGGGACGUUUCAAAAUUUUGCACGGCCAGGGUGACAAAAAGAGGAUUUAAGAGCCACAAGCGGUCCGCACAUGACCCAGACUUCGUUCCUGUGCGGCUUCCAGAGGUGUUCAUGCAGAAGACUGGAUGCAGGACCCUUGGUGGCACCAGUGUGCAGAUGAGCAGAUAGUGACUGAUUGCCACUGGGGCUAUAACAAAAUAUAAUAAACUGGGUACCUUAGAAGCAACGGAAAUUGAUUUCUCAUCGUUCUAGAAGCUAGGAAGUUCACGAUCAAGGUAGCAGCAGAGUUGGUGCCUGCUCUGGAGGCUGGAAAUCCAACAACAGAGUGCCAGCAUGAUCAGGUUCUGGAGAGGACCCUCUUCCUGUUUGCAGACUGCUGACUUCUUAUUGUAUAUUCCAAUGGUAGAAAGAGAGCAAGAGAACUCUCUGGAGUCUUUUUUUUAUAAGGGUGCUAACCCCAUUUAAGGAGGUUUCCCCUCAUAAUCUAAUUAUCUCUCAAAAGCCAUACCUUUCAACACCAUUGCAUUGAAGGUUAGGAUUUCAACAUGUGAAUUUGUAGUGGGGUGACGGGGAGAGGGACACACAAAUAUUUAGUCCAUAAUGCAUACUAACAAAAACUGGGGUAAAAGGUCACUGAAGUGAAUCCUUGCAGUAUUAAAGGACACGUUAUACUUCAUUUAUCCUUUUGGUCCAUAAAUAUUGAGCACACACUAUGAGCUAAAUUCUAGGUGCAUGUUAGAGCAUUGGUGGUACCACAAUAAAAUAGCCUUUUUCCCUAUCCUCAGGGAUUUUACAAUUUUGUGAAAGAGUUAUGCAGAUAGGCAGUUAACCUGCAGGUGGUGAUUGCUCACAAAGAGAAAAGCAGGGGGCUGUAAAAUUAGAGAAGCUAAGCUCACUUACCCUGUAUGGAGUUGGAUACAGAAUGUUUGCUAGAGGAAGUGGUGCCAAGUAGAUUUAGAUAAAGAAGAAGGUGGUGAUGAGAGGACGGAAGUGAUCGAAGGAAUGAAAGGUAGUAGAAAGGAAAUAGCACGCGAGAAGCUGUAGGAGAAAGGAGAAAGCGCACUUCCUGGCAAAAGGGAUAGCACACACAUAGGUUAGAGGUAAAAGGGCACAGCAAGGCUGCAGAGGCCUUGGGAGCUCAGCAUGAUUCGAAUGCAGUUGUACAGGAGGACUGGCACACACUCUGCUUCUUGGAGGUUACAGCAACUGCUACUCUCUGAGGGUUGUGUUACUUAUCUAUCUACUCAUCUAACAACAUGUCAUAACACACUGAGGGAAUUCCUCCAGACCUUUGAACAAAAAUGUUCUAACUUGAUUCAAAAUAAUUUAUACUCAACAUUCUUAGUAUCUUGCUUCAAAAAUAAAUGGACGAAGAAUAGUAUUCUGGCUACAGUUCCGUGUAACAAAUUGCCCAACUGUAGUGGCUUAAAAUGACAAUUAUUUUAUUAUGUUCACAUAAGUGUAGGUCAGGGGCUCAUAAAGGGCUAAGGGAGGAAGCUUUGCACACAUCUAUGGUGUGAGGCUACCUCCUAGACAAGACAAGUAAUGGACCACUUGGCUUGUUUAGUGACUGUGUGGUAAACAGGGGCAUGUGAGAGUUUGCUUAAAGGCAGACUUCCUCCUCUGGUCAGUUUGGUCCAGCCCAUUCAAUUGUGCCUUGCCUGGCCUUCCAGUUUCUGAAUUCCUACUUAACAUCUGAGAUGGCUUGACCCUCAUUCUGCACGAGAGUUUAUAAAUGAACUUUUGUGACUGCACCAGACUUCUAAUGUCACAAUGGCUCCGCCUGCAUACCCUUCUACUCUAUGUGGUUUCAUUCUUCUUCCCUUCCUGCUCAGAAUUAAGUCUGAAUUGAAGCUCCAAUAGUCUCAUAGAUAUUCUCAUAGAUAUAGAUAUUCUCAUAGGUAUUCUUAUAUAUCUUGGUUCAUUCCUGAGGGUUCUUGAACCUCUCAGUUAUUUUUUCUUCUUUCACCCCUGCAUAAUUUGAGAAAGCUUAUCAAAGCUGGGAAUAGGAACCAUGUCUCACUGGUUUCUUUUAAAAUUUCUAUUUAAAAAUAUUUACUUAUUUUUUUGAACAGGUAAUAUAUUCACAUAGAUAAAAAUCCUAAGAUGAAAAUAUAAAUAAAUAGGUUCCCUUCCUCCAUACCAUGUGCAUCAUAAAUCCCCCCAAUUUGUCUAGUACAGGUUCUCAAAACAUUUACUGAAUUUUUAUAGUCAAGUUCCUCAAUACGUACACCUAGUACAUUGGUUGGAUUUACUAUAAAGCUGAUGAAUCUUAAGCCUCAGGGCUCAUCACCUUCUGGGGCUCCUUCCAGGUCCUCUUCCAGAAUCAUCAUCAACUUGCUUCUAUGCCUUUGUAAAAUAUACAAUUGUAAUACAUUUAAACCACAUCAUUUCCGUCUGUUGCCCCUUUCCACUGCAACCCCUUGGCAUACUCUGCCUCCUAUAAAGGGGCAUUAGAGUAGCCUGUGGCAACUUUAGGAUAUAGAAAAGGGGAAAUUGAAAUGGGAGUACAUUUUAUUUGGGUUUAGUGAGAGUUUAUGUGCUUUGCAGUCUUUUUGUAAAUAGCUAAGUAAUUGUUAAGUAUGGCAAUGUCAGUUCUAUUCCUAACUGCUCGCCAUGAAGUUUACUUAGUAUCAUAAUGUGAACCUGCAGGGCCAGAGUUAUUCUGCUAUAUAUAAAAGUGCCCUAUAGCAUCUACAAUUGGGAGUACGUAAUGGAAAAGAAGAUAGUAGCUAUUAAUACGAAUAUUGUUAUUUUUCUGAAUUUUGUGAUGUUUGUGGUAUCCAUCAGCACUUUUAUAUUUGUAAAUUUUUCCCAUUUCUUUUCUUCAUUUUCUAAACACUUUUCAUACAAUUUAUUUGUUACUUUGCAUUCCUUUUUUCUUAGUGCGGUGUCCAAAAUUGUAAGAAUCCUUUAUCCCACAAAAAAUUGAUCCUGUCUUUUACAGAAUUGCCCAGCAGAUGUCUUUUUCAUUUCCUUUGCUUGUGGUUUGCCCAUCUGUCAGCUGUGAAUGACCCAAACAACGUGACACGCUAUUUCUAACUCAACAGUCCUGGAACUUUCUUGACCUUUGACAAAGCCAUCAGAUCACCAUCACCAUCAUUAUUGUUUAUAGAAACAUGAAAAUUCAACCAUAAAAAGUCAUCUUGGGCUGAGCAUGGUGGCUCUAACAUGUAAUCCCAGCACUUUGGGAGCCUAAGCAGGUAUGCUCACUCUUUCACUAACCUUGAGAGACAUUGUCAGAUGUGCAUAAGGGAAGAACAUGAAGGACGACGGAUAAACUGUACACAGACACAGCACAUGGAGUCUGAGUCAUUUGUUUUCUCUGACAGAUCUUUACCAUGCUGGAUUGGAAGAGAAAAGACCAUCACUAAAGCAAAUGGAUCAAAUGGAGUUAUAAAUCAACUCUGUACUCUACAGGAUUGACUCAACUGCAGACAUCUCCAAUACACUCCCUCAUGGCUUUAUUUUUUCUGCUUAUGUGGAAAAAUAACAGUAAAUACAGUUAACUAUCCCAAGACAGAAGAGUAUUAUUAAAAAAGAAUACAACGUUAUUGAUUUUUCAAGACAUAAUCAGAUAUUUUUAAACUCUGAUUUAAUAAAACAUAAUGUAAUUUCUUUUGUGGGAUUUUUUAUGCUUUCCCAAUGUUUAUUACCCUGUGUGUUUCACACUUCAAAAUGAGAGUAUCGUAAUAAGAUCACUUGAGAGGAUCCUGAUCUAAGUUACAAAAUCCCCAUGGCCUUUAUAUCCACAUUGUCACAUUCCCCCAGUCAUCUCUUUCUACUUUAUUGUAUCUAUUACACUUUACACUUAUUUAUGUUUUUCUAUUUACUUUAUAUAUACAAUAUCAUGGGGUACAUAGUGUAAGAGGAAGGAUGGCACUAGCAAGUAUUCCUAAGUUGGUUUAGGGAAUGGGAAUAAGGGUA